rnacentral:piRNA from 1 species
AAAUUGUGGAGUGAUGAUAACGAGG